AUGUUUUGCCAUACGAACCCAAUGUGCUACCGCUGGAAGCCAUUAGGGAAGUCUCUUCUCCUGGUGGGACAGACAAGCCGCUGUCAGGCUCCAGAGUGCAGACGCCGCCGAGCGGGUGUGUCGCUGUGGGCAAUGUGGGCUGAGCCAUCCCCAUCCCGGAGAUGUGUCCUGCCCCUGCGGCUCAGUGCAGGCUCUCAGCCCCGCCCCAGCCCCCUCCCGGAGCUGGGCUCCCACCCACGGGGCCAGGCCAGGCACCACCAUCAGCCUCUCACGUUCUCCGGACGUCCUGGGACUGGGCGCCGGUGCUGGUGUUAUCAUCAUUCCCAUUACCCAGGUGGGGACGCAGGUCUGGAAAGAGAGACACGCACAAGGUCCCAGGGCUGGAGUUUCAGGUGCCCCAUGCCUCCCCAUCCCCAUCCCAACUCAGUUAUGUGGCCCAAGAUAGGGGCAGAGGAGAGGGUGGUGGAGGAGGUGGGGGGCCGGCCUGUCUGCCCGCUCUCCGUCCCGGCCCAACAGCCAGCCCUCUUCAGCCCUGUCUUUCCAGCCUCCCUCCCAGCCAGCACGCGCGGACACAGCAGGCUUCUCCCAGGAGCCGCUCGCCAGCCCUUCCCCUGCAGAGCACAGGCCCGAGCCUUGGACCUGGUGCUCAGCCCAGGUCUUCGGGAACUCGCCAUGGGACUGCGGAGAAGCCCACACAGCCUUGCGUCUCUGUUUUCCUCAUCUGAAGCCCAGGAGCACAAGUGCUUACCUUCAGGUUCAGUUACUGACUCACGGAAUAGCCGUCAGUUCCUUGAAGAGAAAGGAGCCUUGGCCGGUGACUGGUGCGAAGUUGCUGAGAGUUCCCUGGGCAGGUCGUUUGCUGAGACCAGGCCCUGAGUUUGCGCAGCCUGGAAGGAGCCACGCUCCUGCCUGCAGAGCCUGGGGCAGGGCUGCCCCCACAGGCAGGAAUUCCUGAGGCCGGCAGGUGUGGGGACCGGGGAGAGGGAGGGGCCCCAGGGGCUACCGCUGAGGAUUCAGUCCAUUGCUGAGUUCCCACGGGCACCUACAGGAAACCCAGCCCUAGGCUCCCCAGUGGAAUAGGCCAUUAGGGACCCCAAGGUCCUGCUGGGAAGACACCCACCAGACUUGAGCACUUGGCACCAUGAGUUGCCUCCAGGCCCUGUAGGAGCAAGGGGAGGAGGGAGAAGCCUGCUGAGGGCUGUGGGUGCCAGGGGUGGGGUGGGGGUGGCUCUCAGCCUGGUCUAGAGAUAAGAAAAAAUAAGGAGCUAAGAAACCAUGUCCGGCAGGGGAAGUGGGGCACUCCAGUCUUUCUGGGUGUUGCUGAAGUGGGUGCUGGUUCUCCAAGAAUGGUUUCCCUGUAGCAGGCGCCACAGUGGCCAAAGCAGACCACCCCCCCCGGCCCCCCAGACAUGACAAUGCAGGGAUGGUGAUGACAUGAGCUCCCGCGAGUCGGGGUUCAGGAGUGGCCCCUGAUUCCCAGCAUGCCCUCCUUGUUCGGGGAAGACUUCCUGUAGGGUUCAGGAUGAAGCGGUCAGCUCUGUGGGUUCCCCCAGGUGGGGAGUUCAGACACCAGAGUUAGUGUGACCCCUGCCCACUCAACACCACCCCCUCUGGGGAGGCAGUUUCUCUCUGUGGCCUUCUGGAUGCUUUUUUUCCCCUGUCCAGGAAAGUCUUCCCUCUUACAUGCUGUCUCUCCUCACAGUGCCACCUGUGCCACGGGCAGCCACUUGGGAGAAAGAUCCUUGGGAGGUGGGGCCACACAGCCCUGGAGCCAGCCUCCUGGAGACCAAGAGCCCCGGAUGGACCUUGUGGCUUCUCCUCCCUCUCCUUCCUCCUUGUCCCACAUACUUUUUUGGCCUCUGCUUCCCUCCAUUACAUUCUCAGCAGCUGCCCACUGAUUCUAAGACUGCCCACAUUCACAGGGCAGGCUUCCAGGAGGAGGUGUCACUGAGCUGGAUCCUGGAGUGCUAGGAGGAUCCUUCUGUAACUCUAGAAACUUCCAGCAGUUUCUAGGAGCCUUCCAGGACAAGGCUGAGGCUGUGAGUCGAAGCAGCUCUGUCUUCCAUUACCCACCCUUACACUGACCCACAGAUUCUCCUCAAGCCCCGUGGCAGUGGGGUGCAGGUUUGAGGAGUUCUCAGUCCAUGGGACAAAGAAUUUUGUCUGCCUCGUGGGAUGUGCAGAGCUGGGGCAGCUGACUGGGGACAGAACGGGAGGAUUUAGAACCCU
rnacentral:lncRNA from 1 species